AUUGAACGCUGGCGGCAGGCCUAACACAUGCAAGUCGAGCGAGCGGCGGACGGGUGAGUAAUGUCUGGGAAACUGCCUGAUAGAGGGGGAUAACUACUGGAAACGGUAGCUAAUACCGCAUACCAUCCGAUGUACCCAGAUGGGAUUAGCUAGUAGGUGGGGUAAUGGCUCAACUAGGCGACGAGCCCUAGCUGGUCUGAGAGGAUGAACAGCCACACGGGAACGGAGAAACGGCCCAGACUCCUACGGGAGGCAGCAGUGGGGAAUAUUGCACAAGGGGCGCAAGCCUGAUGCAGCCAUGCGGCGUGUAUGAAGAAGGCCUUAGGGUUGUAAAGCACUGUCAGCGAGGAGGCGUUACCCGCAGAAGAAGCACCGGCUAACUCCGUGCCAGCAGCCGCGGUAAUAC
rnacentral:rRNA from 1 species